CAAUACAUUGAAUCGUUCAACUACUUGACAUCAGCCAUGUUCAACAUUGCCAAAAGCACCUUCUAGUAGCAAUGGAAGAUUUUGAAGCUAUUUGGGCAAUGAGUUCCUGGUAGGCUCUCCAGCUUCCUUGACCAUGGAACACCACUCUCAAAUAUUUAAAGUGGAAAUGGAAGCCAGGCAAUCAACAGAAUAGCAAAGAAAG